GGAACCUGCCUAGACAGGGGGAUAGCACCUGGAAACAGGUGCUAAUACCGCAUAAGCGCACAGGGCCGCAUGGCCCGGUGUGAGAAACUCCGGUGGUGUAAGAUGGACCCGCGUCUGAUUAGCUUGUUGGCGGGGUAGGGGCCCACCAAGGCGACGAUCAGUAGCCGGCCUGAGAGGGUGGACGGCCACAUUGGGACUGAGACACGGCCCAAACUCCUACGGAAGGCAGCAG
rnacentral:rRNA from 1 species